UUAAUUGAAACCAAAAUAGAGGUAAAUCACUGUUAAUGAUUAAAUUGAGGUUUCCUCCGAUUAAA
rnacentral:tRNA from 1 species